GGCCAUAUAGUCAAAGAAUGAUAUUAGACUGCAAUUCUAAGGUUGUAGGAAAACUACUAAGGCUU
rnacentral:tRNA from 1 species